rnacentral:lncRNA from 1 species
AUUUGAAAAAUAAAAAUAAAAAAUACUCAGAAGCAGUGUGAGUCUUUAUCCUAAUAUUUGAUCCCAAACAUAUUUAAAAUAUUUACUUUUAUUUUAUUUUGUUUUUGUUUGCUAACCUUCACAUUUGUACAAAAUGUUAAAACAAACAAACUCUAACUCUAACAGCAGAAUUUGGAGCCAAUAGCACUUGUUUCCUUUUUUAUGAAUUCUAUUCUUCCCCUGGAUUAUUGCUUUCUUCACUAUUGUUGGGUCUUCAUCUCCAUUUUGGAAUCUUGCUGAGGAAGACUGUACUAGUUUGCUCAGAUCCAGUAAAAUUUAACACAGGCUGCAGAUGGUUAACUAGAGUAUCAGUAACAGGUAAAUCUGUGAACAAAACACCCCCAACCAUACCUCUUCAAUACUCUGAAUGUCAGGUAACCUUACUCUGCUAUGCCUCCUAUUUAGGUUUGUUCCUCAGUGGGCCCACUGUCCCAGGGCCACAUUUCCCCAGAGAUGAUUAACUAAUGGUGUGGAAAGGCCUUUCCAGUAAAAGGAUGACUUCUGGCAACCAUAAACUUCUACAGAGAGAAGGCAAGUCUAGAUCUUGCUAUACCAGUGAUUCUCCAAGUGCGGUCCCUGGACCAGCAGCAUCUACAUCGCCUGGGAACUUGUUAAAAUGGAAAAUCCUUGGGCCUCAUCUCAGACAUACUAAAUCAGCAAUUUGUAUUUUAACAAGGCCUCCAGGUAAUUCUAAUGCAUAAUAAAUUUAGAGAAUCACUCGUCUAUAACAUGCACCCUUUUAAAGCCAGGCCUUGAUUCAAUGAUUAAUGCUAACUAUGGGUGAUCAGAAGUAAUCAAUUCUCCCUCCAAAUAUCUGUGUGAUAUUGAAUUAUAUCUAUAGAUCCUUUAUUCCUAGGGACCUCAGGGUAAAGG